CCCUUAGAUGUCCGGGGCCGCACGCGCGCUACACUGAAGGAAUCAGCGUGGCUUUCUCCCUGACCCGAAAGGGUUGGGAAACCCGUUGAAUCUCCUUCGUGAUAGGGAUUGGGGCUUGAAAUUGUUCCCCAUGAACGAGGAAUUCCCAGUAAGCGCGAGUCAUAAGCUCGCGUUGAUUACGUCCCUGCCCUUUGUACACACCGCCCGUCGCUACUACCGAUUGAACGGUUUAGUGAGGUCCUCGGAUUGGUCUCGGCCCGCUCUUUACCGGGCGGCGCCGUUGGUCGAGAAGACGCUCGAACUUGAUCGUUUAGAGGAAGUAAAAGUCGUAACA
rnacentral:rRNA from 1 species